rnacentral:rRNA from 1 species
AGCAUGUGGUUUAAUUCGAAGCAACGCGAAGAACCUUACCAGGUCUUGACAUCCCGAUGCUACUUCUAGAGAUAGAAAGUUACUUCGGUACAUCGGUGACAGGUGGUGCAUGGUUGUCGUCAGCUCGUGUCGUGAGAUGUUGGGUUAAGUCCCGCAACGAGCGCAACCCCUAUUGUUAGUUGCCAUCAUUCAGUUGGGCACUCUAGCGAGACUGCCGGUAAUAAACCGGAGGAAGUGGGAUGACGUCAAAUCAUCAUGCCCCUUAUGACCUGGGCUACACACGUGCUACAAUGGUUGGUACAACGAGUUGCGAGUCGGUGACGGCGAGCUAAUCUCUUAAAGCCAAUCUCAGUUCGGAUUGUAGGCUGCAACUCGCCUACAUGAAGUCGGAAUCGCUAGUAAUCGCGGAUCAGCACGCCGCGGUCGAAUACGUUCCCGGGCCUU